rnacentral:rRNA from 1 species
UAACGCGAAGAACCUUACCUGGGUUUGACAUGCACGUGAAACCCCUGUGAAAGCAGGGGCCUCCUUCGGGACACGUGCACAGGUGCUGCAUGGCUGUCGUCAGCUCGUGUCGUGAGAUGUUGGGUUAAGUCCCGCAACGAGCGCAACCCUUGCCCCGUGUUACUAACAGGUCAAGCUGAGGACUCUCGGGGGACUGCCGGCGUCAAGCCGGAGGAAGGUGGGGACGACGUCAAGUCAUCAUGGCCCUUACGCCCAGGGCUACACACGUGCUACAAUGGCCAGGACAGAGGGCUGCGAGACCGCAAGGUGGAGCGAAUCCCAGAAACCUGGCCCAAGUUCGGAUUGCGGGCUGCAACUCGCCCGCAUGAAGCCGGAAUCGCUAGUAAUCGC